UACGUAGGGGGCAAGCGUUGUCCGGAAUCAUUGGGCGUAAAGAGCGUGUAGGCGGCCCGAUAAGUCCGCUGUGAAAGUCCAGGGCUCAACCCUGGAAUGCCGGUGGAUACUGUCGGGCUCGAGUCCGGAAGAGGUGAGUGGAAUUCCUGGUGUAGCGGUGAAAUGCGCAGAUAUCAGGAGGAACACCAAUGGCGAAGGCAGGUCUCUGGGCCACUACUGACGCUGAGAGGCGAAAGCAUGGGGAGCGAACAGG
rnacentral:rRNA from 1 species